GUACACGCUGUGACUAGCAUAUCAAUAAGCGGAGGAAAAGAAACUAACAAGGAUUCCCCUAGUAACGGCGGAGUGAAGCGGGAAGAGCUCAAAUUUGAAAUCUUAUAAGGGUUUCCCUUUACGAAUUGUAGUUUAAAGAAGUGUUUUCUGUUGAGGUUUUGGUAAAAGUUCUUUGGAAUAGGACAUCAUAGAGGGUGAGAAUCCCGUAUUUGACCUUUACUUUCAACUUUGUGAUACACUUUCAAAGAGUCGGAUUGUUUGGGAAUGCAGUCCAAAAUGGGUGGUAAAUUUCAUCUAAAGCUAAAUAUUGGCGAGAGACCGAUAGCGAACAAGUACCGUGAGGGAAAGAUGAAAAGAACUUUGAAAAGAGAGUUAAACAGUACGUGAAAUUGUCAAAAGGGAAGCGUUUGACACCAGUGUUGUUUUUCUGAAAAUCAAUUAAAGAACUGUUUAUGCUAAGCUGUUUAGACUUUAUCAGCUAACUGUUUAGUUUUGAGCUUUUCUUUAAUGCACUUUUCAGUUAACAAGUCAACAUCAAUUUCUUUUGCUGUAAAAAAGCUUGAGGAAGGUGGCUUGAGAUUCGUCUUAAGUGUUUAUAGCCUCUUGCCUAUGCAGUCGGAGAGAUUGAGGUCUGCAGCGUAGAUCCUUCGGGGCUAAAUGCAUUUGUGCUAAGUUAUAGCAUUUUAUAGACAACUUGUUGACUAUGAUUUGUCUUGUAGCUUACUCGCUUAUGUUAUUUUACCUACGCUUAGGAUGUUGAGUCGUAGAGCACGCAG
rnacentral:rRNA from 1 species